rnacentral:rRNA from 1 species
GACGAACGCUGGCGGCGUGCUUAACACAUGCAAGUCGAACGGAAAGGCCCUGCUUUUGUGGGGUGCUCGAGUGGCGAACGGGUGAGUAACACGUGAGUAACCUGCCCUUGACUUUGGGAUAACUUCAGGAAACUGGGGCUAAUACCGGAUAGGAGCUCCUGCUGCAUGGUGGGGGUUGGAACGUUUCGGCGGUUGGGGAUGGACUCGCGCCUUAUCAGCUUGUUGGUGGGGUAGUGGCUUACCAAGGAUUUGACGGGUAGCCGGCCUGAGAGGGUGACCGGCCACAGUGGGACUGGGAUACGGCCCAGACGCCUACGGGAGGCAGGAGUGGGGAAUAGUGCACAAUGGGCGGAAGCCGGAUGGAGCAACGCCGCGUGCGGGAGGACGGCCUUCGGGUUGUAAACCGCUUUCGCCUGUGACGAAGCGUGAGUGACGGUAAUGGGUAAAGAAGCACCGGCUAACUACGU